CAAAACUGUGAUUUUGGGGCUUUAACUGAAAUUGACUCAUCUAGUCCUUCAGUAGGCUACUCAGCCCUACUUAUAAAUCCUGUGUCAGAGGAUGUACAAGCCACUUUGGUUGUUGCAUGGCCGCUAAGAACAAUAUAAAGACUUCGGACUUACUAACACGAAGUAUAUUCAAGGAGUUUUGAGCUGCUGGAGAUGUUUGCACUGCGUCACAGCUUGCUGACUUACCGCCUGACAUUGUUGAGGACCAGCUGGGAGCAGAAGUAGACUGUGGCACAAGACAGGAGAUGUCCUGCAGAAAACACACAGCAACAUAACACGCUGCAACCCUUGUGUCCAUCUGCUUUCACUUCUUCUUGAUAACCAGCGGCAGGAAACGUGAUGGUGAUGUAAAGCACUGACCUCCAUCUAGAGUCAACUUUUUGGGUUUGUUCAGUGACAAUAUUGCCCUUACAGGACAAGGUCAAUAACAAUUUUGAGUGAACAGCUGGGUCUUUACAGUGGCAGCACAAUACAUUGAGGACUGCCGUUCAGAAAAUGUUCAUUUGACACCAAAUCUUGCCCUGGCUACUGUAUCCCAUAUGGCUAACAGCAUUACAUGAUAUAACCAUAUGCUCUUUUGAUAGUAACACGGAGCCUUAUCUUUGCCUACAAAUGGUGUUUGUUGAUUUUUUAUAGAGAAUAAUGUCUACAGUUGCACUGAUCAAUAUUUUUAUAUUAUAAAUGUAUCAAUGACUAUGCAUGUAUGUAAUGUCAAAGGUGUCACUCGUAGUAACAAACGCACAGAAAUUGAUCACCCAAUUGCAGUUUCCCUCACCUCUACAAAGCGUUUUAGCAUCAUUCAGGUCAUUGUUUUGGGUUUUUGCGGCCUUCAACUUUACUGUUUUGGUUCAGUCUCACCGCUCUCAUCAGUGUUGUUUCCAGCUGCAGCAGCAGCUGUUUUCAGUGGAAACCUCUGAUAAACCCACUGUACACUACCUGCCCGGCGCCAAACAGCAGACAGACAAAGUUAGCAACUAGCUGGUGAACAUACUGGCGCAUUUUAGCAGCUAAAGAGCAGCUAAUAUUUCCCUGAAGAAUUAGUGGAGAUGAAACCAGAGCUAAAAGGAGUGUGAAUAGAAAAACACGACUCCAAAUGAAUACUAAUGUUGGUCCGUGUAAGCUGGAUAUGCAAAUAUGUUCGCCAAGAUGUUCGUCACAACAACUUUAUAAAUUGACAAUAUGUCAGUGUUUUCAGGCUGUUCCACUGCCCCCAAGUGGCAAAAAUUGAAUUUAUUGAUCCAGGUCUUUGUUCCAUAAUAAACAUUAGCUACAUACAUAUGUAGAUAUUCCCAUCUUACUUCCCUCUUUCACUUCCUCGCAUCCCACACAUUCCAGGCCAUGGUUCAUCAUUUAGCUCUAGCUAAAUGCCUUUUGCCCUUUUCCAGGCACUCAGUCAGUACAUACUGUUUAUCUUAUCUAGCCAUACAGUCAUACCUGUUCUGCACCUCCUACUCUAACCUGAAAAUCUUUGGUUUGUAACUUGUGUUGUGUUUGCAGUUAGCUUUUAUCUUGACACAUACAUGAGAAGUGCAUUUUCAACAAUUCUUUAAUUUUUUGCUUUGCAUUUCUUUGGCCCCAAGCUAUCAGGUUAGAUUGAUUUUAAUGUAAACAACUGGUGCUAUCAGCUACAGUGCUUAACCAUUUUACGUUUCACACAAUAUAUAAUAAUUAAUUUUCUAGAUUAUAAUAAAGCAGGUAAAGCAGUCCAAGAUUACAAAGAAAUAAUCAAAAGUAAACAGCAGAAUAGGCUGAGUUAUUUCAGUUUACAGUAUGAGAUACUCACACAAACAAUCCUAAGAUUGUGAAAACAAUAACAACAACAAAAAAAUGUCAGCUCUGGUUUAGUCAAGAGAAUGUAUUUUAAGAAGUCACAGAUAAGGGUGUCGUGUUGGGUUCCCAAUAGAGCGAGCUCCUCCUACCGCCCACUACAGCACUGAGAAAUGUCACUAGGUAAUAAUUGCCAUGGGGAUGCAGAGCCUGGCGAAGCUGGGGGCGGUUUGACUGAGGUCCAUCGUUGAGGUGUGAGGGCUGGUGCGCGCACCAGCAUCCUCCAACUGAAACACAACAUUAAACAGCAGCAGGAUGUCUUUAUUUAGAUUGUGUAUCUUUACAUUUUUUUCUUCACAUUUACAUCUAUCUAUCUUUCACUGUGUAUUGACAGUCUUUUCUUUCUGAUGAAGGUCAUACCACUGCCUUUGGCCUUUGAAGUUUAAAUGUUACCUUAAGGUCAAAGUGUUUGAACUGUAUCCUCCCACCCUCCUCAUUGCAAUGGAAUACAAAAGCAAAGCAGAGAGAUUAUGCCACACACACUGAGUCAGAGAUUACAGUUAUACAGAAAAAGAGCACUGAGAUGUUGAGUAAAAGAAGCUCAAAAAGACCCUAAAUGUUAAGCAUGUAUUUGGUAUCACUUAACUGUAUUUGUGAUAGCAGCCUGUACGGUACAAUUAUGAGAAUGGAUCCAAAAUGUUUUACAAACAUAGAAACUCUUUAUUACAACAGUAUCUCUCACUCAAGUUUUAUCCAUGUAUUUUUCUAAACACAUUCAUGUCAUUGCAGUACAGUGGAAGUCAUUCUUUUUUUUUAUCACAGCAUAAAAAACAAUCUCUGAACAAGUGAAAAUCCUAACACGAACGUUCAACAUCAUUCACAGUUUGGGAUAUUUAGACGUGAUGAAAAGAAGAUAUCAAGCUCAACAAGCUUUUGGAUUUUGGAUUGGCAUUGUCACUCAAAAACAACCUUUGAAAAAAAUAUCUUAAAAACCCUGUAUCCACAUUACAUAAGAAAGAAUCUGUUAUUUCAAUCAAACAUUUCCACAUAUCCCUAACAGUUUACUAUAAAAUACUACUUCAUCUCAUCAUCAAACUCAAGCUGAAAAACUUUAUCAAAGUCUGCACCCUCAAUUUCUAAUAAAACCUCAAUGAGCAAAUCACACCUGCUUUAGUCUCCUUACAACAUUAGAAUAGAGUGUGCAGGACAUGACAUUGAACUGCGCAGGACUGUAAAGUAAUGUUUUUUUCCUGCAUGUGAGGUACUAUAAAAACCCUGAUGGGCAGGGUAAUCAAAGAAAAUUUAAAUGUAUUCUCCUUCCAGGAUAAAAAAUCUCCACAGCUGAAAAACAAACAAAGAAGGCAGUUACUGCAUACGUGUCAAAGUAGUCUCCUUGUAAUGAAUGAAAUUCAUAACAAAUACUUACACUCACGAAUAAAAAGAAAAAUGGGCAUGUUGAGUGAAAUACACAACCCACAACUUAUACAGUUUUACUAAACAUAACAUACAGUUUAGUACAUUUAACAAAUGUAAGAAAUAGAACCAUAUUUGAAUGCAGUGCAGUGCAUCAAGAGAAUACUGAUUCUUAAGAUCUAUAUCCAAAUACACUGAUAAAUACAUCAACAUGGCAGAAAGCUGGGUGACCCUUAAAGAUGCGUUACAAAGUCAGCCUACAUCCUAAACUGAGUCACAACAGAUCUGGCUUGCUUUUUAGGAAAAUCCCCCCAAAAAAGAUGUGUGAACAAGCAACCCAAGAAAGGAGAACAAAAUUCAGAUGGUUAUCUGUAAACAGCUCGUUGCAAUUCCAUGAGAGUUAGGCCACAGUAUGUAUGCCUCCUAAUCGAGUAUAAUCAGAUUGGCAUAAGGGUUAAGAGUGGCAUUAUCAUUGAUGAAAGCUCAACUACCAAUGAGAAGUGACAGUGCUUUUCCCUUAAUGGAUCCCAUAAAUGUUUUGCUCUUUGCUUCGCAUUUAUGCACUGCUGCACUUCUUUUAAAAUGCUGUAUUUUACUACAUUUUAUGCAUUUUAUGUAUUCUACUUUUUAACUUUAUUUGUAUUUAUUUAUUAUUAUUAUUUAGUGGGUUUUAUUUCCCAUCUUAUGUUAUGCAUUCCUCAUUUUUUAUUUUACAGUAAGUAUGGCAUUCUGUCAUUCUAUGUCUAUUUUAUGUUUUCUAUUCUCAUCUUAUUUUUACUUUAUUUUACAUUAAUUAUGGCAUUCUAUCCCU